rnacentral:rRNA from 1 species
UGCCCACGGGGCGCAGCAGUGAGGAAUAUUGGUCAAUGGACGCAAGUCUGAACCAGCCAUGCCGCGUGCAGGAAGACGGCUCUAUGAGUUGUAAACUGCUUUUGUACGAGGGUAAACGCAGAUACGUGUAUCUGUCUGAAAGUAUCGUACGAAUAAGGAUCGGCUAACUCCGUGCCAGCAGCCGCGGUAAUACGGGGGAUGCGAGCGUUAUCCGGAUUUAUUGGGUUUAAAGGGUGCGUAGGCGGCGCUUCAGGUCAGCGGUGAAAUACCGGGGCUCAACCCCGGGGCUGCCGUUGAAACCGGAG